UACGGAGGGUGCGAGCGUUAAUCGGAAUUACUGGGCGUAAAGGGCGCGUAGGCGGCCCGGCCAGUCCGACGUGAAAGCCCCGGGCUCAACCUGGGAACGGCGUCGGAAACUGCCGGGCUGGAGUGCGGGAGAGGGCGGUGGAAUUUCCGGUGUAGCAGUGAAAUGCGUAGAGAUCGGAAGGAACACCAGUGGCGAAGGCGGCCGCCUGGACCGGCACUGACGCUGAGGCGCGAAAGCGUGGGGAGCAAACAGG
rnacentral:rRNA from 1 species